GAUGAACGCUAGCGGCAGGCCUAAUACAUGCAAGUCGUACGGCAACACAGUUGCGAGCAAUCGCAACCGGUGGCGAGUGGCGCACGGGUGAGUAACGCGUAUGUAACCUACCCUUCUCCGGGACAUAACUCCGCGAAAGCGGUGCUAAUAUCCCAUACCAACUCAUCAAGACAUCUUCUUGAGUUGAAAGCAGCAAUGCGGUGAAGGAUGGGCAUGCGUCCCAUUAGCUGGUUGGUGAGGCAAUGGCCCACCAAGGCUACGAUGGGUAGGGGUUCUGAGAGGAAAGCCCCCCACACUGGUACUGAGACACGGACCAGACUCCUACGGGAGGCAGCAGUAAGGAAUAUUGGGCAAUGGUCGAAAGACUGACCCAGCCAUGCCGCGUGCAGGAUGAAGGCCCUAUGGGUUGUAAACUGCUUUUAGCCGGGAAUAAACACCCGUUUUAUAACGGGCCCGAAGGUACCGGCUGAAUAAGCAUCGGCUAACUCCGUG
rnacentral:rRNA from 1 species